UGGCUCAGUGGUUAAGAGCACUGACUGCACUUCCAGAGGACCUGGGUUCAAUUCCCAG
rnacentral:tRNA from 1 species